AGAGGACCGCAGCGGGCGGGGCGCGUGGUUCGAUCGCGCGCUACGCGCCUCGGGGACGCGGUCCGCGCCACCCCCAGCCGUCCCUGCCGUCCCGAGGCCCCCAGCGAGCGGCGCCGUGGCUUCGGGCGCGCGGGGCUCGGGGCCAUCGCCGGGUGCUGUGCGGUUCCCGGCUCGGAGGCGCUGGGCCGGCGUCGCGGCUGCCCCCUGCCCACGCGGGAGGGAAGCGAGCGGCGCUCAGGGACCAGGAGCGAAGGCCUUGCCACCUGGCGAGGCGGGGAGGCCAAGACAGGGUAUUUGAGGAGAAUUGAAUAAAUGGAAAAUACGUGAAUUAAAGGAGAGCUGUGCAGUACCCAGGGCCAGCAACAAAGGGGAGCUGUUACCCCCUGAGACCUGGAGGGCAGCUGGAGCCACAGGAGAGGCCGUCUCCAGGAGCCCUGACCUUGGAGAGGGACACAGCGACCCGGCAGGGAGGAGCUGCUGCUGUACACUGACCUCACCCCUCCUGACCGCUUGGCUUGUCUACCGGCUACGCAUUGGCUGAACUAGGUGGAGGCCAGGGAGCAACGAGGCCCCAUGGAUCCUGUACCUACAGUCAGCUUCCCGGGGCACAGAGCAGGGGCUGGCAUGGGGCAAUGGGAAGAUGUCCAGCACCUGUUUUGAAGUGUGAAUAAAAGCAUCGUAGAAAAUGUUGCUGUUUUGCUUUGUUUUGUGGAUGUGUAGCCCAUGCAGAGGCAGCCUAAGAUGGGGCACGACCAGGCUGGGCCCCGCCUCUUGCAGAUCCACUAGGAGCCACCCCAGAGCCAAGGGGACCUUCCUUGGAGGGUUUCCCAUCCUGAAAGUGAUGAGUCACAAAACGAGGCAGGACUGAGGACGAGGAAUGCCCCGUGUCAGCGCACGUGCACGGUGUUGUUCAGGCCCUCUUCCUGGGGGUCCUCCUGGAUGCUCCAAUGCUUGCCCAUCUUGGCAGCUGUCACAAGCCACUGCUGGGACUGUAAUUCCCCAGGGCAGGGACUGAUCCUGUUUGCUGUUGCCCCUUCAUGGGGCCUGUAUCUGGAAGGAGGAUGAAUCUGCCCGUG
rnacentral:lncRNA from 1 species